CCCCUCCCCUCCGCUCACCUUAAAACCACCGUGCAUCACCAUGGCGAGUUGCUCCUUCGCUGGCGACUAAGCGCUAAGGAGACUGAGAGCCGCAGCAGCAGCAGCCUCCGCAGCUCUAGCAGCAGUGGCGACCACCCCGCUUCUUUCCUCGGGAACCCCGACCGCACUCAUUGGGACCGGGUCGUCCUGUCCGGGAGCCAUGUGGCUCUCCCCAGCCACUGGCUCCCGGUCAGACUCCGAGUCCGACGAGGAGGACCUCCCCGUCGGGGAUGAAGUCUGCAAACGCGGCUACCUGCGGAAGCAGAAGCAUGGGCAGAGGCGUUACUUCGUGCUCAAACUCGAGACCGAAGACGCUCCGGCUCGGCUCGAAUACUACCAAAAUGCCAGGAAGUUCCGGCUCAGUGUCCGUGCCGCGGCGGCUGCCGCAGCCGCGGCCGC
rnacentral:lncRNA from 1 species